UGUUUUGUGCGUGACUCUAAUU
rnacentral:miRNA from 1 species